UACUGCACGGGCCUGGCUCAACCCG
rnacentral:snRNA from 1 species